rnacentral:rRNA from 1 species
AGUGAACGCUGGCGGUAGGCCUAACACAUGCAAGUCGAACGGCAGCACAGUAAGAGCUUGCUCUUACGGGUGGCGAGUGGCGGACGGGUCAGGAAUACCUCGGAAUCUACUUUUUCGAAGGGGCUAACGUAGGGAAACUUACGCUAAUCCCGCAUACGACCUACGGGUGAAAGCAGGGGAUCUUCGGACCUUGCGCGAUUGAAUGAGCCGAUGUCGGAUUAGCUAGUUGGCGGGGUAAAGGCCCACCAAGGCGACGAUCCGUAGCUGGUCUGAGAGGAUGAUCAGCCACACUGGAACUGAGACACGGUCCAGACUCCUACGGGAGGCAGCAGUGGGGAAUAUUGGACAAUGGGCGCAAGCCUGAUCCAGCCAUACCGCGUGUGUGAAGAAGGCCUUCGGGUUGUAAAGCCCUUUUGUUGGGAAAGAAAAGCAGCAGGUUAAUACCCCGCUGUUCUGACGGUACCCAAAGAAUAAGCACCGGCUAACUUCGUG